ACGUUUUAUUCCAUCAGGUGGUCACAUCGAGGAAAUGAGGAAAUGUAUUUUAAUGAAACAUCUCGCCUUUUGCGGAAGCGUUUGUGUAGAAAGCUAUUUCUCUGUUUCUGAAUGGGCUUCAGUCUUCCAAAUGCUUUCUGUUUAAAUGCAAAAGCCCCUGGGAGACAUAAGUGGAGAUGGGGGAAAAAUAUAUACACUGGGGUAAAAUAAUCCCUGAAGUGCAACACAGGGAAAACAUAAGAAAUGACUCAAGGAAGGGGAAAACUGUGCAUGUCUAAGGGAAGGUAACAGCCAGCUUUGCACCCUGGCCUUACCAGGGCUCUCACUACAAUGCAUUUUCUAUGACCUUUUCUAUUGCUUCUAAUUCCGUAUCAGUUUGGGUAUCUAAGCCAGGAUUCAAAUGAAUAUUUUGAGGUGUGCAAUAUAAUAUGAAAUUUGAAUUUUGGUGAUCGUAAAGUUGUAUUGUCCGAUAAUUAUCAUUUAAAUACUCAGGAUGCAAGCAAGUUGCAUAGUAGAAGGCACCAAUAGAAAUUAUCCAGUAAUCACUACACUUUCCGUAACUGGGAACAAAUUUAUAGGGCUAAAAGGAGGAAAUUCCUUAAGCAAAUAGUUUGUUGUAAUAAUAAGAAGGUCAUCAUCUUGUUCCUGGGUGUUCUAGUAGCUUUCUACUUCAGAGGUAAACGAUCAUGGCCAACGGCAGCUUGGAGAGAAAAGGGUUUAUUUCCUUUUAUAGCUUAGUCUGUCAGAAAGGGAAGUCGUGCAGGCACUCAAGGCAGGGACUGAAUGAAGCAGAGACCAUGGAGGAGUGCUGCUUACUCCCUGCUUUCCAAGGUUUGCUAGCCUGCCUUCUUACACAACCCGGGACCACUUGCUGAGGGGUGGCACUGCUCACAGAGUGGGCUGGACCUUCCCAGGUCAACCAUUAAUCAAGGAAAUGCCCUUCAGACUUGCCCACAGGCCAGUCUGAUGGAGGCAUUUUCUCAACUGAGGGUCCUCUUUCGAGGUGACUCUAGCUUGUGCCGGGUAGACAACAAACAAACAAAAACAACAAAACACCAGCACACUGGGUGUCUGAAUUGCAGCCAUAGGCAGAUGGCACAAUACAGAGAGUGCUAUUUUAAGGAAUAUGCUAGAUUCUUUACAUAUCAGAUAUCGGGCAUAUCAGAUACUUUAUGAUUCAUAAUAGCAAACUUACAGUUAUGAAGUAGCAAUGAAGUAAUUUUAUAGUUGGGGGUCACCACAGCAUGAGGAACUGUAUUACAGGGUCGCAGCAUUAGGAAGGUUGAGAACCAUGGUUCUAUAGUAUUUCAAUGUCUCUUACUGUUGUCUCACAGCUUGCUUCGUAUCUGAGCCUUCUGCAGAACAUUCAGUACUAUCGGUGACUACUGGGCAAUGAAAUCUUGUGUUAAAAUCACUGAAUUCCAAGUUAUAGUUAAUUUUCAUACUUCCUCUGAUUUAAAAUGGAUCUUCUGGGCAAAGGUACUAUAUGGGAGAGCAAAGUAAUCUAAUAGUGUUUCAGUCUGCAAAUAAUGGUAGUAACCACUGAAGAGCUUUGAGCCAGGAAGGAGGAUGCACACCCAGAAUAGGACCUGUUCUACCAGGUGAAUGGCUUCUCCCUCUGCAAUAUUUGAUGUGCAAUAGAAUGUCACCAGGUGGCCGGUUGGUCUCCUAAGAAAUACAGUUGAACAGGGAAUUAAAAUUUAACUGUUAUUGUUGAUGGCCUGUACACUUCAUAUGGGCAACAGUGAGAUCAGACUUUUUGAGACAAGUUCAUAUUAGUGAAACCAUUCAGAAUCCAUGCCAUUGGGGGCAUGGCUCUUUGUACAUGCGUCCAUUUGAAGAAGCCUUGAGGUGAUCACAGAGGAAGCCAACUAUCUACAAGAAAGGUUAUGUAAUCUACCUGAUUUAGAUUAAUUUUUGGUGUGAUUUCUUGUCUAGCUUAUAUGUUUAGAUGUGUAUUUUUAACUUUCUUGAUCGUGUCUCUCUCUGUAUCUGACUUCCAGUUCUUUUGAGAUCAGAAAAUUCACCUGUAAGAUUUCAUUCAUUUAAAUCUGUUAAGAAUUUUUCUUUAACAGUCCUGAAUAAAGCCCAUCAUAAGGAGUGUUCCAUGUGGUCUUGAAGAGAUGGCAUGUUCUGCAAUUGUUUGGUUUUAUAAUGGUUUCGGAUUAAACCGUCAACUAGAUCCCUGUCAGACAUAGUGUUAUCUACAACUUCAUUUUUGGUACUGAUAUUUUUAUUUAUGUCAACUAUGAAAAACUGUUAAGAUCAAUGAGGUUUAUGCCUUAUCUACUUCUUCCUUUAGUUGUUCAAGUUCUUGUUCCAUUUUAUUGCUCUGUAAUUGGGCAUGUGUACACUCAUGAUGGUUCUUUAUUUUACCCUUAUGAGGUGCCUCUGCCCUUGGUAAUAAUUUUACAAAGUAUGAUACUAAACUUGCCAUUCCAGCUUUCUUCUGUUCCUCUCUCUAGACAUGUCUAAUAAGUUGCAGUGAAAACUGGGCAUUAUUGGUACUCCAUUGCAGCAAUUCUGAGUCCUACUGUUUUCUCUGAUGACUAUCGGGUUUUGUUCUAGUAGACAAUUUACUUGUCUGGACUCACGUGUUAAAUUUCACUGUGUGUCUCCUGCAGUAGCUGAUAUCUCUGAUGAUUCUUUUUCUUCUCUUACCUUCCUCCAUCCAGCUUCUGUUAGUUUUGCACAUGUUCCUCGACUCCCCCAGGGUGUCUUUCCAGUAUUUGAGUGGAUUCGUGAUCACCUGAACACCUGAGCACGAACUCAAUCCAGUUUUCAGGAUUUUGUUUGAUUCUCUGUUUUCUUGUUCUUACAAGAAAUUUCUAGCUACUCUUCCACUUACAGCUGAUGUCCUGAUACUUCCACCAAGUCAGGCUUCAGCUUUGAGCUGCCUGAGCUGUGCCCACUUGGCACACACACAACAAAGCAGAAGUAUGAAUCUCACCCAGGGCAGUUUUGUCUUUCAAACAUAGCCCCUCUCUGAUGUGUGUCUGGGGUAUUGUUUCGGUUGUUGGCCAUCUAGCCUGGGGCAUUGCCAGUGAGUGAGUAGUUCAGCACUCAGCAGGGGAUGUGGCCAAAGUGCACACUGAAACAGAAUCUCGGUCACUCUGCUGCUCUCUGGCUUCUAGCAUUUUGCCAUCAUUUAUUUCCCAGUUCUCUUCUAGCAGCGAGCGAGAUGUGUCCUCAGCCAUCUCAUACUUAUUAACCCCCUUUUCUGCCUCAGUAGCUGUGACGAUUAAAGAAAAUAGUAAACCAGCAAAAACAAAAGCACAAUACGUCGCAUUUUAUUGUGGGCUGAAUCUGAAAUGUCCUUGUAGACUCCUGCAUUGAACGCUUGGUCCCCAUCUGGUGACAGUAUUUGGAUAGGUUCUGAAAACUUCGGAAUGAAGGGCCUACUUGGAGGAGGUAGGUAACUAGGAGCUGGCCUUUGGAAGUUAUACCUGGUCUCAAAUCCCUCCCUUGUUCUUCUUCUCUCAAGUGGUUUAUGUCUGUCACUCUGUCGCCAUGUAGAGAAAGUCAACUAGAACACAGUUUAUCAAGUAACUGCCUCCUUUAGAUUGCCUUUUGGUUCCUUUUUACAUUUGGCCAGAUUUUUUAAAGGCCAUCUGCAGAGAGUUUAAUUCGUGAGUCCACCCAGCUCUUACCAGAAACUGGAGUAUCAUUCAGGUACUCUAUAAUUACCAUCUGUUUCCUUUUUUUUUUUGUAGCACUGGCUGACCUGAAACUCAUUAUGUAGACCAGGCUGGCAAUGAACUCACAGGGAUCCUCUACCUUCUGAGUGCUGGGAUUAAAGCUGUGCAAUCCCAUGUGGGGCAUACAUGGGCUGCAAAGAGGGUGCCGAAAGAAAUUUAGAUAAAUAGAGCUUAAGCUUUAUGCUGUUUGUGCAGAAAAUAGAUACAAAGGAUGGCUAAAAGAAAGUUAGCUUGGGUUGUUUGUAUGGAGACUAAAGACAAAUAGUGAGAAAGGAAGUUAGCUCAAGUUAUUAUUAAGAUGAUGUCAGGGCAUAAACAACUUGUAAAUAGGGUGAUCUUUAAAAUGAUUGGUUGGUUCCUUCAUCCCCUCCUAGGGUUCUGAGGUUUUCUGGUAUAAACGAGACUUACUGCCUAUCAAUAAACGAGUUCUUGCUUGACUUGACUUCCCGCUGGGCCUGAUUGUCUCCAGGUUAAGAGGGAGGAUGGGGAACAGGAGAGCAGUGCGCACUUGCCUUUCCUUGGUUCCAGGCCAUUUCUUCACAGGUGACCUAAGUUCCUGGUGGGGUAGGUCCCCACAGCUGGCGCCCUAAAAUGUGGGGCUUGAAGUACUUCGGCCGAGGCCAAGCGGUCUUCCAGGGUAAGUGAAACCCUCAGUAUGGGUAAUGCCAUUUUUCCAAAAAAUCCCCAAGAGCCAGGGGAAGCCAGGGAAGGCAAAGAGGACCAGGAGGGUGAAGAGACCAAGUUUAAAGUCACCCCCUCUGCACCUUAUGAUUCAUAUGCCCCAAAGGAGCAGGGCCCCCUGACUUAUAUCCUUGAAACAGGGGAAUGCUCCUUGCCAUAUACCACCCUUAGAAGGGACCUAUGUGACUGGGGUACCUAUGACUGGCCAUCAGCCAGGGAUCGGGGAGCCAGUGGCACAGGGCCCCAAGAACAGCCCCUCCAGGCAUUUCCCAUUAAUCUGGCCCCCGGCCCUAAUAGGCCACAAGAAUGGUACCCAUGGGAGGCUAAAGACCUUAAGGAACUCCGCAAGGCAGUGGCAGAGGAUGGGCCGAAUGCCCCUUGGUCCCAGACCCUACUGCAAGAUAUUGCAUAUAAUCCUUGUGUCCCCAAGGAAUGGCUGGACCUGGCUAAGGCUGUCCUCUCAAGCACCCAAUAUAUCAAAUGGUGCGCACACUAUAAGGAGGAAUGUAGAGUCCGAGCAGAGGCCAAUCGAGCUGCUCAGCCCGCGAUCCCAAUUACUUACGGCAUGUUGGCAGGAACUGCUGACAGGUACUCUACUGGGGUCCAGCAGGCCACGGUCCCAGCGCCAUACCGAGACCAGGUGCGACAGGCAGGACUAGCAGCCUGGGGAAAGCCAGAUGAAGGGCCUACAGAAUCCCCCAUAGCUGGAGUUAGGCACAAGCCCAAUGAGACCCUACCAGAAUUUAUAGACCGGGUCCAACAAAGCAUUAAUCGCAAACUACCAACUGGACCCCUCUAGGACCAAUUUAUAAAGAUUCUGGUCUGGGAUGGAAUGAAUGCAGAACACAUGCUGCCUGUGCAGGGCUGAAAGAGACUUCCAUGGGCUGGUAGGUGGUAGCCACACAAGAUCUAGGCACCCAGCAUCACCAGAACCAGACGCUGGCCUUAGCGUUGCAAUCCCAGAUGGCUGCCCUGACUGAGGCUUUUUCACGGGCCCUGGUAACCCAGAGUCAGGGGACUGCGAAGCCUACAACCCAGGGGGCCUGCUUUAAAUGAGGGCAGGAGGGACAUUUUAAGCUAGAGUGUCCUCUGCAACAGCCUCCCAAUGGCCAAAAAAAAGGCCUUAGGUCGGUCAGGAGAAAUAAAGCACCCCACCACCCCCUGUCCUAGGUGUCAGAAGGGAUAUCAUUGGAGAAAAGACUGUAGAUCAAAGUUUGAUUUUGAUGGGAAGCCUUUAAACUAGAACAGGGACACCCUCUAGCCCGGUCAACUAAAGGAGUAGCCCCCCUUAAGAAGGGGCAGGCACGGCCCUCCAGAGUGGCCCAUGCCGACUGGACCGUUCCCUUGACUCCAGGUCACCGCCCCAAGAUGAGUGUUGUUAUAGGUGGAAAAAGGUUCCACUUUCUAGUAGAUACAGGAGCUGACAGGACAGUAAUCCCCUGGGAGGAGGUGCCCCCUCAUUGGGAUUUAGCAGCUAGACCCCAAAUACUUGCCUUUCCUCGGUUCCAGGCCACCUCUUCACAGGUGACCUAAGUUCCCAGUGGGGUAGGUCCCCACAAUCCCAUGCCUGGUUAGCACUUCUGUUUUAUUCACGUACCAUGCAGGUAGAAGAAUAGGCAGAUAAUGAUUUCAGUUGUAUAUUUAUGCAUAUUUAAUAGCUGAUAAAACCACACAUUGGUAAUUGCUGUUUUCUGUCUGCUUCCCUUAUUAUCCCAUAAACUUUGAGAGUUUUCCAAAGUAUGUGAUUUACUUUUUACUAUACACAUGCACAUCAUAAAGGAAUAUUAAAAAAAAAACCUGAAGCUUUGAUUCCAUGACAGUGGAGAUAUCAAAUUUCCAUAGCAUCAUGCUAGAAAUGUUAGUGUACCAGUUAAUCAACUGGCAGGUAGUGUGAUCAUCUGAAAUAUACACAGCUGUCAGUGACUGGGAAACAAAAGUUACAGAGUGAUGAUGGUAAUAGGGCAGAGUUAAAGUUCAUGCACAUCACAUAUGGCACAUUAAUAAACCAGUUUAGAUUACAAUCUACUACCGGUCCUAACUUUCUCCAGUUUGUUUUCAUUUCUUUGAGACAGAGUCUUGCCUUUGCAGAUGUGGGCUGGACUGGAACUCACAAGAUAGUUCAGCCUGACCCUGACUCACAGCCACCCUCUUCCCUCGAGCUCUGGAGUGCUGGGAUUGCAGGAGACAGCCACUAUACUUGGCUUUUCUAGCAUUUCUGAAAACAAUAUGGUAACUAUUCAAAUUCAACACAAAUAGGGCCAUAGUUGAAAAAGAAAAACGCUUUAAAUGAAAAUUUUCCUAAUGGCUCAUAGAACACAAUGAAGGAACAGUUGUCUGGAUGCUACACGCUUAAAGAUAAGAUUCUAAAAUGAUUACAAGGAUUGCAGAGACCGUUUGACAGUCCAAGAAAAGACACACGCGAGGAGAACCAUGUUCUGAGCCAUCCUUUCUAAACAAAGAAGACCUUGGAAUAAGAUCUGGAUCGUCUGGUGGUCCGUAUUGGCCGAGUCAGAUGAGGAGCAGCUGCCUUUACAGACUGUUGGCUCUGAAGGGAACCUUGUCCACAGGCUGAAAGGUGGAGGUCAGAGGAAGCUUAGGGUUACAGGAGUGCUGGAUGGGAUUUGAAGAGCAGAAUGCAGAUGUGAGCUGCUGCCUCUGCAGCUUACCUGCCUCAAAGUUUGCCAAAUCAUAAUGCUGGUUGCAAUCAUAUUCUGGUAAAACUGUUAGGCUAAGUGGAGUUUCAUGUUGAUUUAGAACAACAUAGCUUGUGAGGAAAUUUACAUUUCAGUACAUAAAUACCUUUUUAGUUUUAAUUAAUUUCAGAUUAGGAAAAUACAUGUGUGUGUAUGUGUGUAUAUGACCCAAAGUGUCCAAAAGAGAACACUUACCCUAUUAGUAAUAUCACUCUAUCUUUACUCACGUCUUUUAUUAAUGUUUCUGUGUGGAAGUUACUUGAGAGUAACUUGGAGAUCUGCCACCUUCUCCAUAAAUCCUUCCAUGUAUAUUUUGUAAACACAAAGACAGCCUACACAACCCUGGUACAAGUCUCAAAAUUAGAAAAUUAACCUUGAGCAACUAUGCACCUAAUCCAUAGCUUUUGUUUAUCUCAUCCAUUGUCUCACUAAUGCCCAUUUUAGUAAAUGGAUAAAAAGGAAAAAAAAAAAGGCUACUUCAGGAACAAUUCCAGAAUCAUAUUUUGUGUUUCUUUGUCUUAUCUCUUGAAUCUCUCUUAAUCAUCAAUUGCCUUUCUUUACAUCGGUUUCCUAUUUCAGUCAUAAAAAUUAUCAUAAUUUUAGUAUCUACAGGGCACAGGGAUGACUCGGUUGGCAAAAGCUUCUGCUGCCAAGCCUGAUGGCCCGGGUUUGAUACCCAGGUUCUCCAACGGUGGAGGGAGAAAAACACACGUUGUUCUCUGACCUCCACAAGCGUACACACUCCAAAUAAAAUAAGCAAAUGUGAAAAACCACAUUCAUUACCUCAAUGUUCUGGAGGUUAAAAGUCCACAUUUAUUCUCAAUAGUCAAAGUCAAGGUGUUUGGUGUGUGUUGGGGGUGGGGAGCUGUUUCUUCUGUGGAGGUUCUUGGAAAAGAAUCUGUUUCCUCAUCUUUUUCCGUUUUCAGAGCCUGCUUAUGCUCUUUGUUGGAUAACCACCUUGCUUGCUUCCCUUUAACCCGGUACUUGCCGCUGUUACAACCCUGGUUCCCCUGCCUCCUGCUUACAAGCACUGUAGUGAUCAAACCGGACCUGCCUGGAUGAUCCAGGAUCAUCUUCUUCUCCAGGUCCUCAGCAUAAUCACCUUUAUCGUGGAAGGUGAAGUAUGCACAGCUUGUGGGGGGAUUAGGCAAUGGGCGGGUCAGAGGAUUAGUCAGCCCACCACAGUGUUCCUUAGCUAGGAUGUUUCUCAAAGUCACUGUAAAUCCUGUUGAGAAGAAGGUGGAGGGGAAUGAAGAGAGACAGCUGGGUGAUAGUGAGGAGGAAGUGUUAAGAGGCUCAGGAGAGAAAGGAGACAGGGAAGAGCAGCUAGCUGCUAAUUUGGAUUUUUGCUUUAUGUCUGGGUCCCCUUCUUCAUGAAAGGAAGAUAACGUGUCUUUCUGGACCUUCAUUUUAAGUGAUUAAAUGUAGCAGAAAAAGCUUGAGACCUUUGGUAGGAGACUGUUACAGAAAAUGAAUUCUGCUUCCCUAAAUUCUAGUGUAUUGAUUACUUCCUUUCGGAGAAUAGAUGCAGCACAUCCCUCUGGAUCGUCCCUGCAAGGAGAUAAGCCUCAGCACUUCCUGCACAAUUCUUUGCAAGAAAGCAAUUGAUUGGCUUUAUGUGAAGCUCAGAAAGAAGGUCACUUGUCACUUCUCCAGGCUGGCCAGCAGGAAGCAAUUACGGCCACACUUCCAUGUACCACAUGCACAUCUGAUGUUCGCCUUGGUCCACAGGAUGUCCUUAAUUCUGCUUAGGGCUUCAUAGUCUGUGCCAUAACUGUUACCAUAGUGAUGCUGUAGCAAUAACAGGAAAAAUAUACUCUUGGCAUUAACAAAGGUUUAGAAUCUGAGCUGAGCUGGACCUGAUGGUUAAACAAUGGUAGAACCAUUGAUUGACACCCAUCAACAAGACAGAGUAAGAGGCACAUGAAAGGGGAAGUGAGCUCAGAUCUCAGCACAGUUUCCGGCACCUUGGUGGAUAAUAGCAUUUAUCUUGGAUGGUACAGCGAAACGCGCACACAGAUGAUGCAAUAUUCUUUUCUCUCCUUCCUUUCUUUUCACCGUGUGUCUAUCUCAUAGUUGCCUUCUUUAAAAAAAAAAAAAUCAAACACAUCUCAAAAGUGUCUCAUUUCUUGUGAUCCCUCAUGUCAGGUGAAACCAUCAGUUCCUCAGAUGAAUUCCAGAUGGGUUGCGUCUUAGUCCAUUUUGUACAGCUAUGACAGGACACUGGAGAGUCGGCAGUUUAUAAAGUAGAGAGUUCCUUCUUACAGUUCCGGAGGCUGGGAAGUCCACGAAGAAAGAACUUGCAUCUGGCAAUAGUCUUCUGCUGUGUCAUCUCAUGAUGGAAAGCAGAGGGGAAAGAAUUAGAUAAUAUGAAGAUACCACGCACUUUGAUUGUAAGACACAGAGAAAACAAUUUAGACCUGAGCUGCAAACUUCCUUCUUGUUGGCUGGAUUUCAUAUGGCUGGAAGGUGCUACAUAGACUGCUGGAAGAGACAAAGCAUCAAGUCUUAACCAACUCAGAGCCCUACAAACUUCAAUUCUAACCUGCCAGGCAAGAUAUACCCAUGGAUGUAGUGGUGGCAUGACUGUGAAGAUAAUCAAUCCCUCUCUGAUGGGAUUCAGGACCUGCUCCAUAGGAAGGAAUCCGUGCAUGGUACUGUAAACCUGGCCAAAAGCAUAAGGUCAGGGAAGUCAUAGGCCCUAAUAAGGAGCUAACAAUUACUGUUUAGUUAAAUUUAUAUAACGUUAAGCUGCCUUCUAAAUAACUGUUUUUACCCACAGACAAAUUCUACUCUCAGCUUCAAUGAGAGAAGCCUGUCUUUGAAAUGAAUGGUUGUGAACAGAGAGACUCAUGCUGUUUAAGUUACUAAGAAUAAAUAAUGGUUGAAUGCUCACCCUAAACAAGGCAUUUAAAACACUUCCUCUAAGACUCAAGGAAUAUUAUGGAAGAGGAAGCGCAAAGAAUGUAUGAGCCAGAUGGGAAGAAGGACUUCAAAAUGUUACCUUCUGGCAUGACAAAGCCAUUUCAAUCUUGAACUCACAGGACCUCUGCUUACCUGUACUGGUCCUAUACAAGACCGGCUCUGCCAUGGAUGUGGGAGGUGCUCAUGCACUUCUACCCCUCUCUGCUAAAUUAUUGUCUAGUGAAAAAUUCUGAGAGGGGGGAGUCGUUGUCCUCAGUUGUGUAUAUACUAGGGAACCUAUCAA